rnacentral:lncRNA from 1 species
CCCCCAGGAAAUAUUUUUAAAGGAGUUAGACUAAACUGCCAGGUGCCUUUCUCCCUUGUUUAGAAUGUGAAUGUGAUGUCUGGAGCUUCAGAAGCCACAUUUGACUGUGAAUUCAAUUUGAGAUUGGCAGUCAUGGGCUCAGGAUGAUGGAACAGAAAGAGAAAGGGAGCCUGGUCUCUUCUCCCAGAGGAUGUUGUGAAGCUGCCUGAUCAGCCCCGGGCAGCCUGCGUUUGGGCUUCUUGUUACCAAAUCCAUGAUUACAUAUUAAGCCCUUAGUCUACCUAAGCCCCUGUCAGUUUGCUCUUUGUAGCAGCCACACACAACUCCUAACUGCUACCGGUUCCUUCUCACGAGCAGCAACUCUGAUUAACACUGAACGAGAUCCAGAAGAAAUUAGUAAACUGUUCUGCAGGAGCAGAGGGAUUCCGUGGAGCCCCGACCCGAACUGAAGAGCAGAGGCCAGAGGGGCAUGGGAACUUGCUGCCUCUCCCUGGCCUGUCUCUAGGAACUUUGUCG